GUGGAGCCUGCGGUUUAAUCGGACUCAACGCCGGAAAUCUCACCGGAUAAGACAGCUGAAUGAUAGUCGGGAUGAAGACUCUACUUGACUAGCUGAGAGGAGGUGCAUGGCCGUCGUCAGUUCGUACUGUGAAGCAUCCUGUUUAGUCAGGCAACGAGCGAGACCCACGCCAACAAUUGCCAGCAUGACCUUCGGGUUGAUGGGGACAUCGUUGGGACCGCCUCUGCUAAAGGGGAGGAAGGACUGGGCAACGGUAGGUCAGCAUGCCCCGAAUUAUCCGGGCUACACGCGGGCUACAAUGGUCGGGACAAUGGGUUCCGACACCGAAAGGUGAAGGCAAUCUCCUAAACCCGUCCGAAGUUCGGAUUGCGGGCUGUAACUCACCCGCAUGAAGCUGGAAUCCGUAGUAAUCGCGUUUCACCAUAGCGCGGUGAAUAUGUCCCUGCUCCUUGCACACACCGCCCGUCAAACCACCCGAGUGAGGUCUUGAUGAGGCGACGUCAUAAGACGCUGUCGAAUCUGGGUUC
rnacentral:rRNA from 1 species